AACGAACGCUGGCGGCAGGCUUAACACAUGCAAGUCGAGCGCCCCGCAAGGGGAGCGGCAGACGGGUGAGCAACGCGUGGGAAUCUACCCAUCUCUACGGAAUAACGCAUGGAAACGUGUGCUAAUACCGUAUACGUCCUUCGGGCGAAAGAUUUAUCGGAGAUGGAUGAGCCCGCGUUGGAUUAGCUAGUUGGUGGGGUAAAGGCCUACCAAGGCGACGAUCCAUAGCUGGUCUGAGAGGAUGAUCAGCCACACUGGGACUGAGACACGGCCCAGACUCCUACGGGAGGCAGCAGUGGGGAAUAUUGGACAAUGGGCGCAAGCCUGAUCCAGCCAUGCCGCGUGAGUGAUGAAGGCCCUAGGGUUGUAAAGCUCUUUCACCGGUGAAGAUAAUGACGGUAACCGGAGAAGAAGCCCCGGCUAACUUCGUGCCAGCCGCCGCCGUAAUAC
rnacentral:rRNA from 1 species